AUUGAACGCUGGCGGCAGGCCUAACACAUGCAAGUCGAACGAGUGGCGGACGGGUGAGUAAUGUCUGGGAAACUGCCCGAUGGAGGGGGAUAACUACUGGAAACGGUAGCUAAUACCGCAUACCAUCAGAUGAACCCAGAUGGGAUUAGCUAGUUGGUGGGGUAAAGGCUCACCAAGGCGACGAUCCCUAGCUGGUCUGAGAGGAUGACCAGCCACACUGGAACUGAGACACGGUCCAGACUCCGACGGUAGGCAGCAGUGGGGAAUAUUGCACAAUGGGCGCAAGCCUGAUGCAGCCAUGCCGCGUGUAUGAAGAAGGCCUUAGGGUUGUAAAGUACUUUCAGCGGGGAGGCGUUACCCGCAGAAGAAGCACCGGCUAACUCCGUGCCAGCAGCCGCGGUAAUUC
rnacentral:rRNA from 1 species